AUGCAUAUCCCUGACACUGGACACACGGCUGAAGUGCAGGGCGGCAGGGACAGUGAGGUGGAGAAGAUGGGGCCAGACGUGGAUUGGCGGGGGGAGGCGACAGCCAGACCUCACUGUGGAGCAGAGUCCAGAGUGUCCUGGACUCCACUGGCUGAGCCACACUUGUCUGGGCAUCAGGACUAACAGUGCCUGGCCAUGCUCUCUGAUCAGAGCAGCUGGCCCGUGAGAAGCCUGUCCUGCUUCAUUCUUUAGUUGAGACUCUAGGCCCAGAGGGGGCAGUGGCUUGCCUCAGGCCAUACAGAGGUAAGUGGCAGGGAGGAGGCCAUUGCUCAGCUACUCUUUUUUUCCUUUUCUUUUUCUCUUUUGUGGGCACCCCCUCCGCAUAUGGAAGCUCCUAGGGCCGGGAAUCGACUCUGAGCUGGAGCUUUGAUCUACACUAUAGCUGCAGCAGUGCUGGCUCCUUAACCCACUCGUUGUGCCGGGCCAGGGAUAGAACUGGCACCUCCACACAGACAAGCCAGAUCCUUAACUACUGUGCCACAGUGGGAACUCUUGCUCAGCUCUUCUGACUCUAACUUGGGGGCUCUUCCCAGCACAUGGGUACUGUGUCACCCCCAAUCUGCCCCCGACCCCUUCCCUCGCUUUGUUACCUCUGGGCUCUCACUUGAGCCCAAGACCCAUGGGAAAGACCCACAGUUCUGCUCUAUGUCACCAGGUGUUUGGUGCCAAAGAUGAAUCUUGGACCUGCUGAACGAGCCAGAGGUGCAGCAAACACAUCUUGGACCUUAGGAGAAGAUGCACUUCGGCUGAGAUGGAGUAGCUGGCUCAGACCCUGGUUCUUUGUGCUGAAGCCAUGUCAUGUGACCUCACUGGUCCAGCUGGCACAUCUGUGAGAUGGGACUGUAGGAGGCUCCAGUGUGUGCACAGCACCAGGGAAGUGGUAGCUACGAGUGCUGGUGUUAAACGAAGAGUCCCUGGGCUGAGUGGCAGGUGGGAGAUCCCACUGGCACAAUGUCCCAAAAGGAAAAGCAUCCAUCCAUCCAUCCAUCCAUCCAUCCAUCCGUCCGUCCAUCCGUCCGUCCAUUCACUAUGA
rnacentral:lncRNA from 1 species